AUCCUCACUCCAAGAUGGAACACCUCAAUCACAGGAAUAUUAAACUGGUAACAAGGAUUUCCUGCAUGAUCAAGUGCUUAGGUUGGACCUACAGUGAAAAUAGGUGGGUGCACGUUUAGUUUGAUGAUCCCAGAGAAGUGUAGCCAUAAAACAGCCAUCAGACUGCUCAACUCCAUGAAGACAGAAUCAGUUCUAGAUCCAGCACAAAAAGUACAAAUUUAAUCACACAGAAAACAAAACUAAGCACUGCUGUAAGUAUGCACGUGUAAAGGAUUUAUGGUGACUGGAGAUUUACAGGCUUGGUUGUUGAUGCCUUCUGCUUUAGUUCUCUCAGCAUCUCUGUCUUUUUGUAGAUCUGUGUCUCAGAAGUAAUAAUAAUUGAAUGAAUGUUUACAUGUCAGAUUUUCAAAGUUCUUUUUCCAGUGGCACAUGUUCAGAAAUACCUUCUGAAUUCAGAAGGCUGUCCUUAAUGUAUUCCCCUGCAACAAAAUAGCAGGUAAGAUAUGUUAAGACAUCAUUAGGUCUUUCACACUCAUUUAUUUAAGUGUUUAUCUUAAAGGAAAUGUUGCUAAACAAUCUUCGUAAGAAUAUGCUGGAUUCUUGCAACCUUUUAUGAAGCAGAUAGUUAAUAAUUUGGUAAUUAGUUCUGUAAUUGCUAGGCAAUGAAUACUUAAAAUAUUAAGUGCAAGCUAUUUAGCCAUGUUUCAGGAAUGCCAAAAGCUUACUAAACCACAACAAUCACAUUUGAUACUGUAAAAUUAACAUUGUGAGCACACAUCUCACGAACACCCAUGUCGGGCAGCCUGUAGAAGAAAUCAACAUGAAAUGCAGCUGAAAGGACAGGAAGUAAAUCAGGGCUUAUAAUGCCUCCUUACAGGGUGCGCUGCUACUGCAAUCUGCUCUGUAGGAAGCUGCAGAGGGAGGGAGGAGUGUCUGGCAGAGUGUUUACAUGGGUGGUACAAGCAGAAACUGCAUCAGCAAAGCCCUGUGGCUGGGAGGUACAGAGGAGAAUUGCAGGCUGUGACCAAGUUCAACCUGAUGCCUUCCCAUCGCUCUCAUUGGAAGUGCUGACAUCUGGUCUCCAAAGGUUACUUCCUUUCUGUCUGCACUGCAAGUAGGUCAUCUCAUCACCGCUGUACAGUAAGGAAGAAUUCUCUGAAUAUGCCAGAAAUUCCAGCUGUCUCCAGCUAGCUGCCAACAUGUCCAGCCUGACCCCUGACUGCUCUAAUAACCCAGUGACAAUUCACAAUACAAUAUCUGCAGCCCACUGACAUUGUGGAAGCAAAGCAAGAUUCCUUGUGCUGACUAUCAAAUUAAGGGAUAUCACACAAAAUAUGUAGCAGUUGUUUCAGAAGGGAAGUUAAAGAAAGUGUUUUAAAUGGGAGGACAGAGACAUACAUAUGCUGAUGGGAAGAAAUACAAAAUAAAUCAGAAUUUCUGUCCA
rnacentral:lncRNA from 1 species